UACGUAGGGAGCGAGCGUUAUCCGGAAUUAUUGGGUGUAAAGGGUGCGUAGACGGGAAAGCAAGUUAGUUGUGAAAUCCCUCGGCUUAACUGAGGAACUGCAACUAAAACUACUUUUCUUGAGUGCAGGAGAGGUAAGUGGAAUUCCUAGUGUAGCGGUGAAAUGCGUAGAUAUUAGGAGGAACACCAGUGGCGAAGGCGACUUACUGGACUGUAACUGACGUUGAGGCACGAAAGUGUGGGAGCAAACAGG
rnacentral:rRNA from 1 species